AAAGAAAUAUCCUUAAAAAGCUUCUAACUUUUUUCUAAGCAUCAAAAUGU
rnacentral:tRNA from 2 species